UUUUUUAUGAUAGAAUAUUUUUUAAAGUGUGUGAAWUGCCUUCAGGAAUGAUUAACAGGGAAUAUUGUACUAUAAUAUAAUCUUUAGUAUGUUUCAGCUUUACAGAUUGUUUUAUUUWAUUUUAUUUUAUUCAUCGUCAUCYUAAGGGUAGGAAACCCAUCCUGCAGUCAUCAAUGAAGACUAAAAAACAUCAUUGCAAUCGAGCGCGUAGGCAAUGAGGUACUCGUGUGUUGCAUCGUUAAAUUAAAAAAUAAAAGAAUCGGAAAGUAGAAUCAGUGUUGAUCGUCGAAUGUUAAAAAAGUUUCGUUUGCUCGGGUAAAGAAACUCCUUAAGUUUCUUUUAUUCUUUUUAAAUGUGUGCUCAUCGUCAUCUUAAGGAUAGGAUAUCCAUCGUGCAUUCAUCACUGAAGAAUAUACAUCAUCAUGGGAAUAUUGCAGCGUUGGAAGUGUGUGAAUAGUGUUUGUGAAGUGUUACAAG